UACGUAGGGGGCGAGCGUUGUCCGAAGUUACUGGGCGUAAAGGGCGCGUAGGCGGCUCUGCACGUCCGUUGUGAAAUCGCCCGGCUCAACUGGGCGGGGUCAGCGGAUACGGCGGAGCUUGAGCAAGCUAGGGGGCAAUGGAAUUCCCGGUGUAGUGGUGGAAUGCGUAGAUAUCGGGAGGAACACCAGUGGCGAAGGCGGUUGCCUGGGGCUUUGCUGACGCUGAUGCGCGAAAGCGUGGGGAGCGAGCCGG
rnacentral:rRNA from 1 species